UUUAUUUCUGUAAAAAUGAUUGUUAAGUUUGAUUUAAAAGCUUCAUAAAUCGACUCAAAUCAACCUCUAUCAGGUGGCAAAGUCGUUAGAGAUGCCUGCAUCUAUCAUUUUUUACGACGAGGUAAUCCCAUACUUUCAUAACUGGAGGUAAUCUUAUGAGGGCGGUUAACGCUACAUUUCCCACAUGUGCGGGGCUUAUGGAAGAUCGAAAACAUAUUUGAGUCUCCUAAAAUUUUCCUAAAUAAUAAUAAUAAAAAAACCAAGGGCAGAUAUGUAAUUACAUACUAGGGCCACUGAAUCAUUAGGUUUUAUCAUCCCCAUCUUCAUCGUCAGGUCCAAGCCAACUUAUUUGUUCAAGUAUGAGGCUUUGCUCUCAGAGAAAGAAGAGAAGCUUGCUGCUCCCUCUCUCUGAUGGACAGUGAAGCCAGUGAUUACACCAUUUUCACCACUUUAAAAUUUUACUUACCAAGAAAAAAAAAAAAAAACUAAACAAACUCACUUUCUCUCUCUCAAUCUCAAUUACUCUGAUGGGGCUGUGACGAUUGUUUCUAAAUCUAACUCAAGCGAUCAGGCAGUUGAAAAUCUUUUCUCAUCAUGUCGUGGCAGCUUCUGGGUAUAUUUAGAAAGUGCUUCUUGUUGUUGCCAUGGUGGUAAAGUUUCAUUUUUUGUCUGAUAAAAUCCGAAUCUGAGCCUCAUUAUACGGUAAAAAUUCGAUCUUUUAUUUAUUUAUUUAUUUAUUUAUUAUCAUUUCCACAAACCAAAGUUUCCAAAAAUUACUCAAAGUUUCUCUCUCUCUCUCUCUCCAUCGGAUGAGGCUGUGAUGAAGGUUUCAAGCUUUGUGUAGGACUCUUUGAGACUCGUUUCUUGGCGGGGCAACGUGGAGACAGAUCCAUCUUGCAGCCAUGGAACUCCUCAAGGUUUCCCUUUCAGUGCUGAAUCUGAGCCCCCAUAUAUCUGCUACUCCCAUCAGCUUAUUUUUGUUUUGUGUCUGUUAUCUUGUUUUUUUGUUUGCUAAAUUGCAAAACUAGCAUUUUGGGAGUUAAAAGAUGAGGAAAUUCUCAGGUGUAUGAGAGGCACUCUCUUUGGCUUUCUGAAUCCAAAUCCAAGGUUUCAGAACUUGAAGCAGAGUCAAGAGAGUUCUCUUUGGAUUCUCUAGUCGGGAGACAAUGGUAUUUUGGUUUUAGCUCAGGCACUUACCAAUAUGAAAUAGGUUUACUGGAAAUUUAGAAGUAUAUCAACAUGUAGUUUUUGUUAAAAGGAUAUGAGUAGAAUGCUAUUGAAUUUGACCUAAAACUUUUUAGCUGAAUCCUGAAGCUACAUGACGCCAAAGGGUAAAGCCACUUUUUCUUUAUUAAGAAUUAUAAAGAAUGUCAAAAUAAGGAAGAAGAAUUGUAAGUUAUAGACCAAAUUCAAAUGUUGAUCAAAUGCUCUAUUUUAUCUAUCUGAGGCUACACGAUCCUUAGAGAGGUUGUGGGACAAAAAUCGAGUUCAAUAAGCCUUACAAAUCAACUUCUGAAUGCCAACAUUUCCACAUCAGACAAGAUGAAGUAUAGGUAUUAGUGACCAACAGAGAGAGCAAAGUAAUUACCGUGACUGGCUUUAGAGAAACACAAUUCUUCUGAAUGUUGGAUACGCCAAUUGAUCUUGAUGUGGGAGGAGGAACAGCGUUUGUACGAGCCCUGAGCUAGGAAACCGGCCCGGGCCAUCACUGUAUGAAGUGUUAAUACUGGCCACAGCAGGAAGUGUUGCAUCAGCAAUUUUUUCAGAAGCAAUGGAUUGAGAUCGCUUUUCAGUGGUAAGUUAGCCGGAGGCAUCUCACCAAGGAAACCCCCACUUCUACUAGGGUGUAUUUUAUAGGUCAAAUUGGCAUUGUUGUGAACCAAGUACUUUUUCCUCUGUUAGCAGCUUUUCCCGACUGUGCGUAUCUGAUGGCAUUAGCAGGAAACUCAGUUACAAUUCUAUCUACACCCAUUGCCGUAUGGUUGUGGAAUGAAAACAUUGUGUCCAUUCAUUUAAACUCCAAUGUAUGCAGAGGUAUUUGCACUAUGCAUUUCUCUUUCAACUUUUGUCGCAUAUAUAGUAUAACUUUCUCUACUUGGGAUGUGACAACUGCAUCAGCAUACUUCCCGAUCUCCUCCAGUGUCAUAUUGGGUGCAUCACUUUUAUAGCGUUGAGCUUUAAAACGCGUUUAUAAGCAUUGAACUUGGACAAGCUGAAGGGUCAAAAGAAUGGAUCAAUACAUUGCUUGUCAAAGGUAGCAUUACUCGGGGCGUUGAUGCUGGGUGGAUAGCAUUCUAAGCAAGUAGAUAAUGUUUUAGAACCUUUUAUGACAAUAAUCAUUUAAAACUUUUAAGUACACAGAAAAAAUUCUUUUAAGAGAAAAUCAGUGCUUACCUAAUUCCAUCAAAACUCCAGAAACACCUUUUGUCUUUGCGAAACUCAAAAAAAUGAAGUCACAAAUUUACCCCGGCUGCUGAGUUCAUAUUGAAGCGUGAACUUUGUUUAUUACCAUGGAUGUGUAUUGGAGCUGAAAUCAUAGUAGUUUGACAUAAGUAAUGAUGCUAGAAGAAGAUCACUGAGAAUGAGAAGUUAUUGGAGAAGCUUACGUUUCCAAGACUGAAUCUCGCUCCAUUUGAGAUUGAAAAUGAUUCCAUUGUCUGUUUGAAUUGCGCCAACCUUAGUAGACUUAACAAGAAAGAGGACGUCAGAGUUGUUUCUCCCAUGAGGUUCGGCGAGUCUAAGCAGAAGCCAACUCUUAACUUUUUGACAUUUGGACUGAGCAAUCAGUCAUGUGCGCUUCAUCAUCCGCUGCUUGCUGAUAAGCAAGAUCAGUGCAGCCGGCUUAGAUCUCUCUUACUCCAUUAUGUAUUAUGACUCGAAGUUUUGCUGCAAAGGCAUAGAAUUAUGCCAAAACUUUCUAACAAUUAUUAUGUCAUAAUUUGCUUUGGAAUAUGUAAGACUAGUAUUUUACAUCUCUAAUUUGUAAUUACAAGUUUAUUAAUAAAAACUGAUCGGCAUAGGGUGUGUGUGUGAAA